rnacentral:tRNA from 1 species
GGGGUUGUGGCUCAGUAAUAUAGAGUGCUUGCCUGGCAUGUAUGAGGCACUGGGUUCAAUUCUCAGCACCA